UACGUAGGGUGCGAGCGUUGUCCGGAAUUAUUGGGCGUAAAGAGCGCGCAGGCGGUCGUUCAAGUCGCGUGUGAAAGCCCCCGGCUCAACUGGGGAGGGUCACGCGAUACUGAUUGACUCGAAGGCAGGAGAGGGUAGUGGAAUUCCCGGUGUAGUGGCGAAAUGCGUAGAGAUGUGGAGGAACACCAGUGGCGAAGGCGACUCUUUGGCCUGUAACUGACGCUGAGGCGCGAAAGCGUGGGGAGCAAACAGG
rnacentral:rRNA from 1 species